ACGAACGCUGGCGGCGUGCCUAAUACAUGCAAGUCGAACGAACUCUGGUAUUGAUUGGUGCUUGCAUCAUGAUUUACAUUUGAGUGAGUGGCGAACUGGUGAGUAACACGUGGGAAACCUGCCCAGAAGCGGGGGAUAACACCUGGAAACAGAUGCUAAUACCGCAUAACAACUUGGACCGCAUGGUCCGAGUUUGAAAGAUGGCUUCGGCUAUCACUUUUGGAUGGUCCCGCGGCGUAUUAGCUAGAUGGUGGGGUAACGGCUCACCAUGGCAAUGAUACGUAGCCGACCUGAGAGGGUAAUCGGCCACAUUGGGACUGAGACACGGCCCAAACUCCUACGGGAGGCAGCAGUAGGGAAUCUUCCACAAUGGACGAAAGUCUGAUGGAGCAACGCCGCGUGAGUGAAGAAGGGUUUCGGCUCGUAAAACUCUGUUGUUAAAGAAGAACAUAUCUGAGAGUAACUGUUCAGGUAUUGACGGUAUUUAACCAGAAAGCCACGGCUAACUACGUGCCAGCAGCCGCGGUAAUACGUAGGUGGCAAGCGUUGUCCGGAUUUAUUGGGCGUAAAGCGAGCGCAGGCGGUUUUUUAAGUCUGAUGUGAAAGCCUUCGGCUCAACCGAAGAAGUGCAUCGGAAACUGGGAAACUUGAGUGCAGAAGAGGACAGUGGAACUCCAUGUGUAGCGGUGAAAUGCGUAGAUAUAUGGAAGAACACCAGUGGCGAAGGCGGCUGUCUGGUCUGUAACUGACGCUGAGGCUCGAAAGUAUGGGUAGCAAACAGGAUUAGAUACCCUGGUAGUCCAUACCGUAAACGAUGAAUGCUAAGUGUUGGAGGGUUUCCGCCCUUCAGUGCUGCAGCUAACGCAUUACACGCAUCC
rnacentral:rRNA from 1 species